CCGAGGUAAAGGUAUCGCGCCUUAGUCAGAGGCCACCAGAGUUGGGUGUAUAUUUUGUUAGUAGUUACCCUUUACCAUCUUUUGUACUUGAUGAUUAGUAAUGUAAAGAAAAGAAUAUAAAGCACCAUUUUGAGGUAAAUGUGAUGUAAGAAAGACAUGGUGAAAUGACGUAAUGAAUGUAAGGAAUCGAAAAUGUACAAGUUGGAUGUAAUGUAUAUGAUCUAAAUUGAAUCAUUAGUACAAAAGUGAAUGCUAGUCUUGUCACGUCCCGCUUUCGCCAAUUUGGUCGAUCCGGGCACGUACACAGACGCCAAACGGACAGAACCUCCUCUGUCUGCCCAAGACUCAACAACAACAAGUACAUGUAUAAAGAAAUAAACAAUUCCCAGGAUAACAUUUCAAUAUACAUGGCUUGCACGAGGGCAAGCAACAAUCACAAGUGAUAGUAAGCUAGCUAUACUGAAAAUUCACUGUAAUUUAAAACUUUCAAACUAAACUUUACAUAACUGAAUAUGAAAACAUUUAGUUAUUUACAUGCUUUAUAAUACAUUCAUUUACAUGUCUCUGUACAUCAAAAUGUGUAACAUGAAACCAAAAUGGUAAACUACUAAACUCUGGUGUCAGCUAGCUAAACUGCGGGGCUCUUGCCACGAUCC
rnacentral:lncRNA from 1 species